UGAGCAGCAGCAUCUUCUCCCAGUGGCAACAGUAGGGCAAGAUAGCUUUAGUUUAGUGUCUCACAUUACUACCAAUCCGUUGGUCCUCUCUUCUGCCCAAGUCACAGCUUCUAUCACUGUUGUCAGUGUCACCUGCUAAUGGCUGCUGAUGUUUCACCUGCCUGCCUGUGCUCUGAAAAUAAUAUUUGCCAAGAGUUGGCCAGACACUAAAGUGGACGGAAUCAAGCAAGACUUCCAUCUGCUGCCUGUAUGUGCUGUCUGUAUUCACUCUGCGUAUUACCUGAGCAGACAAAGCGACUUACUUCCAGACAUCAGUUCCACCAGGUCUACAUUUUUUAAGAUGAAUAAAACAUCUGCUUGUCUCCUGGGUAGCACCUGGGCACCUCUCUCUGAUAAGGUGGUCUCUCCAAUUCACCGAGGGUUUCUCACUGCUAAUGACUGCUGCCAAGAUAUAUAAAUGAAAUGGUUCAGCUAAGAGAAGAAUAUGAGGUUGCCAUAUUGGAGACACUUUGGUAUGAUGGGAAAAACACCCAACUGAGAAUCAAACUACAUGGAUGCCAUUCCAUCUGCCACUAAUUAGGUACAUGGGCUUCAGCUUAUUAUAAACUCAGAGUCCAAAGAAAGCG